rnacentral:tRNA from 1 species
UAUUUGUGUAGCUUAAUUAAGAGUUUAAUAUUGAAGCUAUUAAGGUAAAGUUUUUUCUCAAAUAA